UCUCCUCCCCUUUUCGCAUUCACCAACCAAAAUUUCUCUACAAAUUAAAUAACACUUCGAAGAAUCAAAAGCCUGCAUGAAGAGGAAGCAUUAAGUAGGAACCCAACAUCAUAUAUCUUCACAUUAUUCUUUCAAAAUGCGAAUCAAGGUAUGAAAUUUUAAACCCUAUAAUUUUUGCAUUUUGGGGAUUUUUCAAUUCUUGAACUUAGCAUGAAUUUUGUGAAGAAAAAUGUGGAGAAUAUAACUACAUUGAUUGAUGGGAGUUGGAAGAUGUCUUUUGUUUGCCAAAAAUUACGAAAAAACAAAUAAUCCUUACACUUUUUUUUCCUUCGAACCCUGUCAUAGUUGAAACUCGAUUUUGGUCCCCCGCCGUAACUGUAGCUUAGAAAAUGAUGAUUCCCAACUGAAAUUCGUUGAAGUAGUAACCAGUAAAAAAUAGAAAAUAGAAUAGGGAAGGGGAAAACGAGAAAAUAAGAAGAAUGAAGGUGAGAAAAGCUAUUGAUUCAAUUAACAAUUUCACUAAAAUUUUGCAGAAAACAUUACACAGACCCGGCUUCCUCCCACAUGGUUGUACAUAUACAAGUAACUAAAUAUAAAGUCGCGCUUUCCAAACCCAGAAGUAGAAGACAUUUUUUAACAAAUAACAACAAUUUAUUUCAAGUAAAACAACUCCGUAUGGACUUAAUAAAAAAUGACAUCGCAGGCACUUUCAAUUCUAGUUACCGCCAUUGGUUUUUUCUCCUCUAUUUUUCAUCCUCUGUUUUGCUUUUAGACCCUUCUUUCCCCAUUGAUCUCCCUCGUGACAACCCUUUUCCUCACCUUGAUCUUGUCCCCAAGAUCUUUAAACAGGAAACUAGGCCUUAAUCCAAUCAGCAUCUUUCCAUGUCACAUUUUUUGGUGGUAGCAGAUCUGACCAAUGAAUGAGCUAUUGUUCUGCUAUUCGAUUUAUACGCUUCACUAUUUUGUAUUGUAGGAUUGCAAGGAGAUAAUGACCUACCUGUAGUGGCUGCUUUUCUUCAAGGAGUCGUAGGACUGGCAUUAUGUUGUCACCAAGUUUUUUCUUCAAUAGUGAAACAUGGAAGACUUGUUGAAUUUUGAAGCCUCUAGGUUGUGCCAUUUGCUAAGCCACUGUCCCUACUUUCCUAGUAAUCUAUGAAAGGUUUUCCUUUAACUGAUGGUUUAAUUUGUAUAUCCACAUCUCCACAACUAGUCUCUUUAUGUUUGUAUUCUGGAUAAAAGGAUGCCUAUAAAGUCCGAUUUUGAAUGGUUGUUCACCCUCUUUCAAUGGGAUAUGGUGGUCCUAUGACCUAGGAGGAGGUAACCAUGCUGGCUCUUCAAACACCUUUGGAAAUCUUUUGAUGACCUCCAACACUUGGUUGGGCAUAUUCCCACCCUUUUCGUCCUUGAUAUGACAUAGUCGUCCCACUAUCCCAUAAGAGUCCUUUCUAAAUAUUCUUCCCAUCUCCUUAAUCCCCAUCAUCUUGGCAGGACAUUUAGACAUCCCACUCUUCAAUUCUAUCAUUUCACCAUUACUCCUCAACUGAAUGCACUCUUGUACAAAAUCAAAUGUGAUUGGACCAAAUUGGCUCAUCCAAUUUACCCCUAGUACCAUGUCACUCCAUGUUAGCUUAAGUGUCCUAAGUUUGUAUUGAAAUUCCCAUCCCUGUAUCUCCCACAUCACUGGGUGACCCAAGGCUUUACUUUCCACUUUCUCCCCAUUGUCUACCUUAACUGUAACCUGGUUAGGUUCAUCAAUGGCAUAUUUCAACUCCUCGACUAGUUUUUCAUCAACGAAACUAUGGGUGCUCCCACAGUCAAUUUGUAUGGAGACUUUCCUCCCUUUGAUCACUCCAGGAACUCUAAUGGUUUGGUGUUGCCAACUUGUAGCCAAUGCAUUAACGGAUAUCUCCAUGAUCUCUUUACCUCCUAAGUCUCUGGCAAACUCAUCUUCAUUUGGUCCCAGUUGUUUAAUUUUGCUAAAUGUCUCAAUCACUCUCAAUAGUUUCUGAAAACCUCUUACAAAGUUCAUUAGAAAAGAAACUCCAAUCCUACCCAGGAUGGUUUGCAAUGAAUCCAUAAAACCAUAUAUAAGCUUUCCCUUCCAAACACUUCUCAACCAUUCAUAGCCUUAGUUCAUCAGAAACCUGAUGGAGUUGGAAGUAGUUUCCCGCUUUCGACAGCCAUUCUCUAGGUUAGGUUCUUCUCCCUUAAACCGAGAGAGAUCAUUUUUAGGGAGUCUAUCAUUUCCAUUAAAUUCACCUCUAGCAUGAACAUCAUUCACAUUACUACUAUACCCAUGUGUAGUUAUCACACUCCCAGAAUUGAAAUCAACAUUAGGCCUCUCUAUUCCUUUAUUUUUUUGAUCUAUUUUCAAAUUUAAAGACAUUUGGGUCAUCAUGGCCACUAAAUUUUCGUAUUUCUGAUUCAAGUCCAACAAGACACCCUCAAAUUUUUCUUGCCUAUGAACAAGUACCUUGAGUGUUUGAUUUAUGAAAUCCAAUUUAUUCUCCAACGUGCUAGUAAGGGCUUUAAAGGAUAUAUCUAAAUCCCCUAUUUCUAAAUCCGGCAUCGUCAAGUGCUCGUCCACCAUUUUAGCUCUAGUAUCCAUGAUUAGAAUUUGCCCAGUAGUGUACGCCUGCUCUGGUACCAUUUGUUACGGUUGGAACUUGGUUUUGGUCUCUAUCAUAACUGUAGCUUAGAAAAUGAUGAUUUCCAACUAAAAUUUGCUGAAUUAGUAACCAAUAAAAAAUACAAAAUAGAAUGGGGAAGGGGAAAACGAGAAAGUAAGAAGAAUGGAGGAGAGAAAAACAGUUGAUUCAAUCAACAAUUUCACUGAAAUUUUGCAAAAAAAGUCACACAGACCUUGACUUCCUCUCACAUGGCUGUAAAUAGACAAGUAUCUAAAUAUAAAGUCGUGUUUUCCAAACCCAGAAGUAGAAGAUGGAUUUUAAAAAAUAACAACAAUUUAUGUCAAGUAAAACAACACUGUAUGGAUAUGAAGGUUUUAGGCUGCUACAAUUCUUGAGCCCAACAUUGUGCCUAAUCCAGCUAGUACUAUACGACCCACUUAUUUGAUCCAGUAAGCUGAAGAUUCGAGAUUGAAAGAAAUCGUGUUUUGAAAAUGCAACUUUACUUAUAUAAUGUGAUUUUGGCUGGAUGAUUGACACCUAACAAACUGGGGACUGUUGGAUCAACAUAUUGGCUUCUUUUCUUAAAAAUACUAGAGCUUGACUUUUGGGGUGGCAUUCGUUUGAAGGCUAACCCUAAUCUCUUGACUACUCCUCUCUUCUCUAUGCGAACGUUCAUCUUCUGUGAUGAAUCUGAUGUAUUUUUUGAGUGAAAUCAUAUUAGUGUUUAGAGAGUGAAGAGAUCUAUUCCUUUGUGGAAAUAUAUUGUAAUCUUGAGGGUGAUUUGUGUGUUCGAGGGGCAGAAACUUUGUUUUCAUUCUGUACUUGUAACUUUGCCUGGUUUUUGAAAUGAUCUAGUGGAUUCGAGCAAAGAUCCUAAUGGAUGCUCAACAGGGAGUAGGCAUUAGCCGAACCUCGGGGCCUUGGGCCGAAAAUUACUUUGUGUUCUUAUUUUUCUUGCAAUCUAUUUUCAGUACUUUACACUUAAACUUCAAACGAGUCACAAAAAUACUUGUCUGGGACCAACAUGGACUUAAUAAAAAUGACAUCGCAGGCACUUUAAAUUCCAGUUACCGUCAUUGGUUUCUUCUCCUCUAUUUUCCUCCUUUGUUUUGCUUUGAGACCCUUCUUUUCCCAUUGAUCUCCCUCAUGACAAACCCGAUUUUGAAUUCACCUUUGGGAAUCUUUGAAAUUCAAAUUUUUGGUAUAUGUAAGUGAUUCAUUGAUGGAGUUUGGGAAUAAGAAUAGAUGUUGAAGGAUAUGGGUUUUGGUCAUCUGCAAACAUUGGGAUCAAACACCUCCCAACUUCAUCAAAUUCAAAGUGGACUUUUCAUGAAUACAAAUUAUUCGAUGAAAAUCCACAUUGAACUUUACAUUCUAAUUUUUGCACCGAAUUCAAACAAUAAUGAGUCUAAAGAUUACUUGGUGGUGUUAAAAAUUUUGCAUUUGUAUUAGAAUCAAGGAUUUUUUUACACAAACACAUGCAAAGGACUGCAUCCCCUACGUUUCUUGCCUUUGUCCCUCUGCCCUCCAUUUCGUCCCCUUGUUUAGUCUCCCUCCAUUCCCUAUUUUUGCAAGAAAUUUGAUGUGUUUGAAUAUUUUUCAUUGACUAUGGGUUUCUUAUGUAUUCCAUGAUUUUCAUUGCAGGUAAAUAUAACAUUAAACUUCGAAGACACCUUUAAAAGAGUAGAAAAGGAAAAAGGGAGAAGGGAAGUCAAAUAGAGAUUCUUCAAAUUUCAGCUAUACGUCAAUCAUCCUAUUAAUAUGUGACGAGUCUUGGUGACUUUCGAUUAUAAAUUGCUCCACAUUAAGGACAACGUAGAAAUUAAGUUUGGGGUGUAGUUUAGUUGUUUGCUAUAAUUGCUUGUUCGUAUCAUAUACGUAUAAAAAAGUUGCAAAAGUUGGAAAAUUUUAAAGAUAUUUUGAUUAGUGUCUAAAAGUGCUUCAAAGAUAUAUAAUUUAUAAGGC
rnacentral:lncRNA from 1 species